rnacentral:rRNA from 1 species
UACGUAGGGACCGAGCGUUGUCCGGAAUCAUUGGGCGUAAAGAGCGUGUAGGCGGCCACUUAAGUCCUGCGUGAAAUCUUGCGGCUCAACCGCAAGCGGUCGUGGGAAACUGGGUGGCUAGAGUGCGGGAGAGGAGAGUGGAAUUCCUGGUGUAGCGGUGGAAUGCGCAGAUAUCAGGAAGAACACCCGUGGCGUAGGCGGCUCUCUGGAACGCAACUGACGCUGAGACGCGAAAGCUAGGGUAGCGAACGGG